UUUCUUCGGGAUGAAGAGCUUAGUGACUGAGCGGCGGACGGGUGAGUAACGCGUGGGUAACCUGCCUCAUACAGGGGGAUAACAGUUGGAAACGACUGCUAAUACCGCAUAAGCGCACGGGAUUGCAUGAUCCAGUGUGAAAAACUCCGGUGGUAUGAGAUGGACCCGCGUCUGAUUAGCCAGUUGGUGGGGUAACGGCCUACCAAGGCGACGAUCAGUAGCCGGCCUGAGAGGGUGAACGGCCACAUUGGGACUGAGACACGGUCCAGACACC
rnacentral:rRNA from 1 species